CGUGUAGGCGGCCAAGUAAGUCAGAUGUGAAAGCCCUUGGCUUAACCAAGGAAGGGCAUUUGAAACUGCUUGGCUUGAGUACGGGAGGGGAAGCGGAAUUCCCGGUGUAGAGGUGAAAUUCGUAGAUAUCGGGAGGAACACCGGUGGCGAAGGCGGCUUCCUGGACCGAUACUGACGCUGAGACGCGAAAGCGUGGGGAGCAAACAGGAUUAGAUACCCUGGUAGUCCACGCCAUAAACGUUGGGCACUAGGUGUUGCGGGUAUUGACCCCUGCAGUGCCGAAGCUAACGCAUUAAGUGCCCCGCCUGGGGAGUACGGUCGCAAGGCUAAA
rnacentral:rRNA from 1 species